GAGGCCGCUUUCCAUCCGGGUCCCUGUCCGUGCGGUGCAGCAGGUCGGUAGGCGGGAAAUGGCGACUGGCUGAAGGAGCUGGUUCUGUUGCUGCUGCGGGCUAAGCGGGGAAGACACCACACGUUGCGCAGUCGGGACCAUCGCUGGAGCCUGAAGACACUUCUCUGUCGUCACAGUUAGUUUUACAUGUGGCACCCAUAAAAGAUGAGGCUGAGAACACGGAAAGCUUCUCAGCAAUCCAAUCCAAUCCAAACACAGCGCACUGCCAGAGCAAAGAGGAAAUAUUCAGAAGUUGAUGAUAGCCUACCUACAGGAGGAGAAAAACCACCGAAGAAUGAAACCGGCUUGUUGUCUUCAAUUAAAAAAUUCAUUAAAGGAAGCACACCCAAGGAAGAGAGAGAAAAUCCUUCGAAACGGAGUAGAAUUGAACGUGAUAUAGAUAAUAAUCUGAUCACAUCAACACCAAGAGCAGGAGGAAAACUUAACAAACAGAUAUCUCGAGUAAGACGGAAAAGUCAAGUAAAUGGAGAAGCUGGUAGUUACGAAAUGACAAAUCAACAUGUAAAACAAAAUGGAAAAUUAGAAGAUAACCCUUCCUCUGGCAGUCCUCCAAGGACUACAUUGUUGGGGACCAUAUUUUCUCCUGUCUUCAACUUUUUUUCACCAGCAAAUAAAAAUGGAACAUCAGGAUCCGAUUCCCCAGGACAGGCUGUGGAAGCUGAAGAGAUAGUAAAACAACUUGAUAUGGAACAGGUGGAUGAGAUCACUACCAGUACUACUACGUCAACUAAUGGAGCAGCUUACUCAAAUCAAGCAAUUCAAGUGAGGCCAUCAGUAAAUAAUGGUUUAGAAGAUGCAGAAGAAACAGUUAAUCGUGAUAUCCCACCCCUUACAGCACCAAUAACUCCAGAUAGUGGUUAUUCAUCAGCCCAUGCAGAAGCCACUUAUGAAGAAGACUGGGAAGUGUUUGACCCCUAUUAUUUCAUCAAACAUGUUCCACCACUGACAGAAGAACAACUAAAUAGGAAACCUGCUCUUCCAUUGAAAACAAGAAGCACACCAGAAUUCUCCCUAGUUUUAGACCUGCCCAGGCCUUCACUGCACUUUUGUCUGUGUCCUUGGGCUAUGCAUGAUGAAACACUAGUACACUGUAGUCUAAAUGAGCUAGAAGAUGCAGCACUUACUUUUCCAGUCCUUUUCCAAGAUGUCAUUUAUCAGGUUUAUGUGAGAUUAAGGCCAUUCUUCAGGGAAUUCUUGGAACGAAUGUCUCAGAUGUAUGAGAUCAUUCUUUUUACUGCUUCUAAGAAGGUGUAUGCAGACAAGUUACUGAACAUACUAGACCCUAAAAAGCAACUGGUCAGGCACCGACUUUUUCGUGAACAUUGUGUUUGUGUACAAGGAAACUAUAUAAAGGACUUAAAUAUCCUUGGAAGAGAUCUUUCAAAAACUAUAAUAAUUGACAACUCACCACAAGCCUUUGCAUAUCAGGUGCAGAAUGGGGAUGACGGAAGCUAUCUAAUGGAAUCCCUAUAGAAAGCUGGUUUAUGGAUAAAAAUGACAGUGAACUCCUAAAAUUGAUUCCAUUUCUGGAGAAGCUUGUAGAACUGAAUGAAGAUGUUCGACCUCACAUCAGAGACAGAUUUCGCUUGCAUGAUUUGCUGCCCCCAGAUUAAGUACAAAGACUUGUCAAAUCAUGAAGGGGGAGAGAAUGCAGGACCCUUUUGGACUAAGACAAAACAUUGCCAUUACUGUUGAAAUUUUGCAUUUUUGUACCCCGUCUUGCUUUUCUUAUCUUUGGUGCCCAAUAAUAAUCAAGGGUUACAGAAAGAGACUUUAUCUCAGAUUGAAUACAUACAGUAGGUAGGCUAAAACAGAAGAGUCUUUAGAACUAGUGCAACUCCAGUGAAAUUUUUUUAUGUACAGGACAUCUGCAGUUUAUAAAGAAUUCUGUUUCUGCCACCAGCAGUUUGACCUGUAGUCACACAGGAUUUUAUGAUAAUAACAGAGAUGAAAAUGGACUUUUUAUUUUCUCUCUGUUUGGUGCUCUAAGUGGGUUUGUAGCCACUUUUCUGUUACUUUAAGAUUCUCAUUUCAACAGGAAUGGCCAGUAAAAGUUGUUUUAUUUUCCUGUUAAGGUUUAUAACCUUUUUACAUUUUUGACCUGUAUUAGAUUAGAAUUUCAUUAUGCAUUCCUUUUAGUUGAGGCGCUUCAGUUUUCUGGAAAUAGUUUUUAGUUUUUUAUUAUAUAUUUGAAUGGCCGUUUUCCUGCUUUGUCUGCCUGCAUAUUGUAUAUUUGUUUAAAAAUAUUCUCUACUUUUAGUCCAUGUAAGUUUCAUUUAGAAAGACAUGCAUUUAUAUUUUGUUUCUGUAAUAUUCUACUGUAGGUGAAAUCUUUUCAAAAAUCAAGAGACUGGGUAGGUAAGAAUAUAUGAGUAAUAUUCAAAUGAUUUAAACCAUUGUGAUGGCAUGUGUUUCCAAAUGGUAAUAUCUUGCAGUGGCACACAGAUUUAAUGGAUAAAGGUAUACCUCAGACUUCACUGUGCUUACCAAUCUUUGAGGAGAAUGUGUUUGGUCACCUUUUGGGCUUGAUUUGGUUACUGCUGCCUUUGGUUUCCUCCAGGAACGAAGUACUCAGCACAGUGAUUCGGUAUUUUUAAUUAUUUUGCAUGGGCUGGUAGUACCUCUGUUAUGCUCUCGGUUACAAUCAAUUUAAAACUCUGUGUAACAGUUUUGGUACCUUACAGUAGCUAUGCAGAAUCCUGUGGCACAGUCAACUCCCAAGCCACCAAUGCAGUUAAUAUGCUCUCAUAGUGGGUUUUCUAUACUAUAUGAAAAUAGUCUUCAAGCCUUGGUUCUCUAAUGCAGCUACCACAAGAGGUUGAUAUUUUUAUAGUGGCGUGUAAUCUUCUUUUCGGGAGGCUUUUUAUGGAAGGUAGAAUUUGUAAGGUUAGUAUGCUUUGCCUCUCAACUGCAUUAACAUGCCACAGGCUCAGACUGUUUUUGUGUAAAGGAUGUCAAAGAACGGCACUUUUUCUAAAGAGAAGUUUGAUAUUUUGUAUGCUUGUUAAGAAAGUACAGUAUUGGAAAUUAAAGGUGGACAACUGAUAAUUGAGGAGUAUGUCACUUAAUUUUUUAUGUAUAUUACCUGUUUACUUGUACAACUUACUGUACAAAUUACAUGCAGCUUCAUUUUCAAAUCCUUAAAAUAAGGAAAUCUUUUUAGGAAAACAUUUAAUUUUUGUAUUUUUGAUUUUAAAGGCAUGAGUUAUGUCAAUUUUCAGUGUAUUAAUGAAAAUUUUAACUUUUCAUCAGGUUGAGUGUUUUCUUACUAUAUUAUCUGUUGUGUAUGUAGUUAGCAUAUUGUGUCACUGAACUGUUUAAAAAUCUAGCAUGUAGAGCAAGCCUGUUUUGUGGAAAAUCCUUAUUCAUUAAAUAAUCAUGGCAGGUUUUCUGCAAAAAAGAGCAGAAGCAUUCGCAAUUCAGAAUACUGGUUUUUUUGUUUCGUUUUUGUUUUAAUUUAAAGAAAGGUAUUUUGCUUGCAGGAAAAAAUACUACAGAUUCAUUUUAAUGAGAAUCUUUGAGAUGUAUUUAUCUUUAGGGCAUCUGGGCAUCUUUAUGCUGUUUGUCUUCUGUCUUUCUUGAAAUAAAAUGUACAUACGUUACCUUUACAUAUGCUCUUGCUCAAAAUUGUGAACCUAGUUACAUUUCUCCUUGCUCCCUUUUUAUGCUCAAACAGCAAAAUCCAAACUUAUACAAGAUCUAAUCUUUCAGCAUGCAUUAUAAUUGCUGAAAGCUUUUCUGAUUAAGUAAAUACAGUCUCAAAGGGCUUUCCCAUAACUUAAAGGGAAAUGUAAGCACCUAUACCACUGUGCCUGUGGGCACUUUAAAUGAACACCCACUUUAAUCAUCUUGUUUUAAUAGUAAAGCUGUUUUCAGUCCCGUGCUAGGGAGAGUUCCCUAAAAUAGACUGACAAAUGAAUCAAGCAUAACAAGAUUCUGUAAAGAAAUAAACUAAGGGAAAUUUUGUGUGGCCUGAGAAAAUUUCUUGAGACCAAUUUAUAUAUAUAUUUUUCAUUACCUGACUUGAGUCAUUUUAAAUUUAAUACAGAAUUUUAAAUAAUUUAUAGAGACAACUAUCCAGCUUCCUUCCACGUUAAUGUUUUAUUGUCUCAUUACCCCUUUUCUUUAUCUGUUUAUAGAUGUUAUCUUAAACACUUCCAAUUGGUUAAAGCGGAGGUGUAUAUUUUAUGAACCUGAGAUGUGCCCAGCCCCUACAGUUCACACAGUAAACACAAACUCUUAAAAACUGACUAUAGCAAAUGCAGGAGAGAUGGCUACCUGUAAAGACACAGCAAAAGUGACCUAUAUACACAUUACAACUCUGAAGUACAUAUUAUAAUUGUGAUAUUUCCAGUGAUAAAUGUCUGACUUUUAAGACAUUCUUUUAAAUAUUUGUAUUAUUGUUAGAAUGUUUUAAUCAGUUAUGUUUUUUAAUUCCAUGUAAUAUAUGUAGCCCUAAUAAGAUUUAUAUCACCAAAUUUCUCCUUGGGUUUUAAAAGAAUAACAAUUUAAAAUCAUAAAUUGUUUUAUAUUAGCUAGUAUGUAUAUUUAUUUACCCAAUGGCUUUAUCUUGUUUCCCAAAAUUUGGGGAGAAUUUGUUGAAAGCAUUGUGACUUCUAUAAAUGGCUAUUUUCUUGUAACUGUCCGUGAAAAUGUAUGUGUACUUUUUUUUUUUUUUCAUUUCUCUGGUUUUUCUGUUUUGUUUUUAGGGUUAAACAUAGAAUGUUUUUUGGUUUUUUUUAAGUUCUCUUUGGCCAAUGACUUUUUCAGCUAGAUAAUUACUUUCGUUCAACGUUCUAAAGAAGUUCAUUUUUCAUUGUUUUGUUCAGUCAACUUACCUGAAAAACAGAGACUUCAUCUCAUCAAUGAAGAAAGUAUUUCAUUAUUCCUACAAAUCUUUACAGCGAGCACAGAAUUCUUCAUAAUAAGGACCAGAUCUUUCCCACAUCUGUGUCAAUCACAUAAAGCUGAAACGUAAAGGACACUGAAGCCUUCAUUUAUUGUACUAACAUGGUGGUGUUAUAUACUACAUUAUUAGCUAGUUAAGGUUUUCUGACCUAAUUUCUCUGUCUUCCUAGAUAUUUAUUUGUUAUCUCUUUUAAUCUUGUGUAUCUAAAAUUAACUUAGUUAAUAGUUACCCAUCAAAUAACUAUGCCAAGCAACUAGGAAAGAAUGUUUAUUUUAUUUCCCCUUAUAGGGGAAGAGUGGACUGGGAACAAAAAUGUAUGGGCCAAAAGGCCUUAGGUUGUCAUUCAUUCACUUUCUUAUUCCUCUCAUGACCUAUGUUCAAGUAUAGUAUUUUUUCAGUGUUGAUGUGCUUGAUUAUGUCAUUACUUUUCAUGUCUUCCCCUGAGUUGAAAGCCUGCUAGGAACCUGUAUGGAAUACAUUUUUAAAUAUUCAGAAUAAGAACCACAAAACUCAGUAUCUUAUAUUUAAAUGCUCCUUAAAUUAUUGGAAUCCAAAUCUCACUCACUAGGAUACAUUUUUAUAAAAUGUUUCUCUGUAUCUUGAAUUGAAAUUACUUGCCCAGAGGCAAGAGUUCUUGGGAUAAUGUGUUUUGAGAAAUUUUUUAAAAGGGGAUAAGAAAGCAACAAGUUUAUACUUUGUGGUUUUGAUAUUAGUUAGUAUUUUAAAAUUCAUUAGUAGUUCCCAAACCUGACUGUUCAAUUAGAAUUACUCUGACCUUUGGAAAUAGAUUCCUGAGGCGUAACCCCUGCAAAAUUGUCUCAUUGAGUCUAUAGUGGGGCCUGAGAGUUCUGUAUUUCUUUUUUAAGCCCUCCAAGUGAUUCUAAUAACCAGGUUUGGGAAAUCACUGUUUUAAAUGUGACAGUGGUUUGAGAGUAGGCAACAAAAUAAAAGUUUACCGGACAUCUUUGUGGUAGUUUUUCUUUUUUCUUUUAUUUUAAACUGGGACCAGAUUUCACAGAACUUAUUCAAGAUACAAGGAGGAAUAAUAAAGAAGAUGGAAGCUACUGCUCAUUAUUCUUUCAUACUUUUAAGAGUUUGCAUACCUAGCACUUGGAAUAGUUGAUCAUAUACACAGCUGAAGGACAUAUCCCUGAAUGAGACCAUUAUAUAUAAAUUGUAAAAUAUUUCACUAUUUUUUUAUUUUAUAAAUCUUUGUAGAAAUAAGCAAUGAAAUACUACUUUCAUCUUUUGAAAUGGGAUUUUUCAAGGCAUUGUCCUUUCGGCAUUAAGGUAGGGGGGAAGUUAAUAUUCUCUCUGCUUUUUUCCAUGUGAAUCAAUAUGAAGUCAUGGACAUUUAAAAAUCUCAGUUCAAUUUCUACAUAUUUACUAUGCAGUAUAGCCAUGAACAAGCAAUGUAGAUUUAGUUUUCUCAUCUUCAAAUGCCCUGGUCACCCUACCUCACAGGGUUGUUGUGGGGAUAAAAUAAAACUUUUAUGGAAACAC